ACCAAUUUCAGCUGCUGCAUAUAAGCAGGUCUCUACCUGCCACAAGACUACUUGCGUCAUGACGUCAACUCAUUCUGCUUCCUUUGUUUGCUGAACUGUGCUGGGUAAGCGUGGCUGUUUCUUUGUUUGUCAGCUUUUAUCGUAGCAAUUAAUGCAAGCUGGUCUGAUCUGUUUAGCCUCCCUUGCUGCUCCUCCAACUCCUGGACCAAACUGUUCGGUUGUUUGUUGCCGGGAAGGUAAGCGCUAGCGUGGGUAGGUAACAUCCAUCUCAUGUAAACGAAGCCUUUAUGUAGUAUUCUGUUACAGCUGCGCUCCACAGGCGAACUUGUGGAUCUGUUUAUCUGGCCGUGUGGUAAUUUACAGGGACUGAGGCUUCUGUGGUGGCGGUGGUGAUCCCUGGUGGCGGUGUCUUGUCUUGUGUGUUUUGUUGGAGCACCGUGUUUUUGUAGUGUGAAGGGUGAUUCCUUUUCUUCACUGGAUGUUGCCCCUUUCCUCGCUACUCUCCCCCCACUGGUAAGCCUCAGUUUCCUUUGAAGUUUAAACAUUUUAUAAUCAACUUCAUUAAAAAGGCAUUCACUGUUUUAACCAUUCAAUUUCAUGUUGUUGUUAAUUUAAACAACAUAUUGAAGUUUAAUACAUUUUUUUUGUAGAACUGUC